CCCCCAGAAAAAAAUUCCCCCACCUACUUGGAAAGAACUCCCAGCUAACAGGUCACCAUGCCUUGUCUCCAUGUUUCCCACAACGCACCCAAGAGUGCCUGCCCAGAGACUCAGUUUUUGACCAUAUGUAGACACAAUCCCAGCUCCUAGUUCACACCCUGAGCCCAAGACUCAGAAAUGCCCCUGCUUCUAGCCUAGCUGUUUGACUUCACUGACCUCCACCUAUGAGACCAGUGAACCCACCUGAGAGCUGCCUCCUAAUAAGCCUGCCUUUAACUACUUUGCAUGUGGUCUAAUCUGGCCCAUAACUGCAUCACUGAGGGAAAGAAAAAAGCCUAUCAUCCAACAACAGGUCUAAGUCUGGUUCCAGGGGAUUUGGGGCUAAAAAAUCUCUCUUCUUGUAAUGUGAUUGAUAGGUGUGGUUUGUAUGAGAUGCCCCCCAUAGUCUCAGGCAUUUGAAUGCUUGGUCCCCAGUUGGUGGCCAUUUUUGGAGAAGUAGGAGGUGUGACCUUGUUGGAGUGAGUGUGUUACAGGAAGUGGGCUUUGAGAGUUUCAAAAGCCACACAACAUUCCGCGUCUGCUCUCUCUGCUUCUUGCUUGCAGUUUAAGGCAGGAGCUCUCAGCUUUCUGUGCCAGCUGCCAUGCCUGCCUGCUGCCAUGCUUCCCAACCUCCAUGGUGAUGGAUUCUUCUUCCUCUGAAACUGUAAGCUCAAAUAAACCCGUUUAUAAACCGCUUUGGUCAUAGUAUUUUAUCACAGCAUUAGAGAAGUAACAAUAAGUUUGUACAUUACAUGAGCCUCUCCCACCACCCCCAACACACACACGCACAGCGCUAAGCUAUUCUGUGCUAAGUUCCUGUCUAUUGUAAAGACUUGUCCUAAUAAGCCAGUUACAAAAUUUAGGGAAGUACUCAGCCCAAUUACUUGCAUAGUGAAAUGAUUUACAUAGAAGAGGUAGAAAAAUUUGACAUUUGGUGCUCAGCAGUUAAGAGCACUUAACUGCUCUUGCAGAGGACCUGGGUUCAGUUCCCAACACCCACAUCAUGGCUCACAAACAUCCAUAAUUCUAGUUUCAGGGAUCCUCUUUGGGCUUUUUCUGGCACAAGGCAUGUGCAUGGUG
rnacentral:lncRNA from 1 species